UACGUAGGCAGCGAGCGUUGUUCGGAGUUACUGGGCGUAAAGCGUGCGCAGGCGGUUUUGUAAGUCUGUCGUGAAAUCCCCGGGCUCAACCUGGGAAUGGCGAUGGAGACUGCAAGGCUAGAGUUUGGCAGAGGGGGGUAGAAUUCCACGUGUAGCAGUGAAAUGCGUAGAGAUGUGGAGGAACACCGAUGGCGAAGGCAGCCCCCUGGGUCAAAACUGACGCUCAUGCACGAAAGCGUGGGGAGCAAACAGG
rnacentral:rRNA from 1 species